rnacentral:rRNA from 1 species
UGGGAACGUACCCUUCACUACGGAAUAGCUUCUGGAAACGGAAGGUAAUACCGUAUACGCCCUCCGGGGGAAAGAUUUAUCGGUGAAGGAUCGGCCCGCGUUAGAUUAGUUUGUUGGUGGGGUAAUGGCCUACCAAGACUACGAUCUAUAGCUGGUCUGAGAGGAUGAUCAGCCACACUGGGACUGAGACACGGCCCAGACUCCUACGGGAGGCAGCAGUGGGGAAUCUUGCACAAUGGGCGAAAGCCUGAUGCAGCCAUGCCGCGUGAAUGAUGAAGGCCUUAGGGUUGUAAAAUUCUUUCGCCAGGGAUGAUAAUGACAGUACCUGGUAAAGAAGCCCCGGCUAACUUCGUGCCAGCAGCCGCGGUAAUACGAAGGGGGCUAGCGUUGUUCGGAAUUACUGGGCGUAAAGCGCGCGUAGGCGGGCUAUUAAGCCAGAUGUGAAAGCCCGGGGCUCAACCUCGGAAUUGCAUUUGGAACUGGUAGCCUAGAGACCAGGAGAGGUUAGCGGAAUACCGAGUGUAGAGGUGAAAUUCGUAGAUAUUCGGUGGAACACCAGUGGCGAAGGCGGCUAACUGGACUGGUACUGACGCUGAGGCGCGAAAGUGUGGGGAGCAAACAGGAUUAGAUACCCUGGUAGUCCACACCGU